AUUGAACGCUGGCGGCAGGCCUAACACAUGCAAGUCGAGCGAGCGGCGGACGGGUGAGUAAUGUCUGGGAAACUGCCCGAGGGAGGGGGAUAACUACUGGAAACGGUAGCUAAAACCGCAUACCAUCAGAUGUGCCCAGAGGGGAUUAGUUAGUAGGGGGGGUAACGGCUCACCUAGGCGACGAUCCCUAGCUGGUCUGAGAGGAUGACCCGCCACGAUGGAACUGAGACACGGUCCAGACUCCUACGGGGGGCAGCAGUGGGGAAUAUUGCACAAUGGGCGGAAUCCUGGUGCAGCCAUGCCGCGUGUGUGAAGAGGGCCUUCGGGUUGUAAAGCACUUUCAGCGGGGAGGCGUUACUCGCAGAAGAAGCACCGGCUAACUCCGUGCCAGCCGCCGCGGUAAUAC
rnacentral:rRNA from 1 species